UUCUCGAAUUUAGAAGAGCUAUCUAUAUUGUUGUAAUAAACACUUAUAAUAUGUGGUUAGAUGCAAAUAUAUCUAGUUUUUUAAGAAAAUUCAAUUUGUUUAUACUUUGAGGGAUGAGCUUUAAAUAGAAUUAGAAGUUUUGUUAUAAUCGUUCUAUUAAAAUGUGAAUUUUAAUUUAUUCAGUGAUAAUGAUAGAAUUAGUAAAAGGUUAGUCAAAGGAACUCGGCAAACAUUUUUCACCUGUUUAUUAAAAACAUGGCCUAUUGAUAAUUAUUUUAGGUCUUGCCUGCCCACUGAGGCCGCGGUAUUUUGACCGUGCUAAGGUAGCAUAAUAAUUAGUUUCUUAAUUAGAAGCUUGUAUGAACGGUAGGAUGAGAAAAUUUCUGUCUCUGACUAAUUGAACUUUAUUUUUGAGUAAAAAAGCUUAAAUUUUACUAAAAGACGAGAAGACCCUGUAGAAUUUUAUUUUGGUUGGGGUGAUUGAAAAAUUAAAAUAACUUUUGAUUAUAAGAUAAAAUUACCUCAGGGAUAACAGCGUAAUCUUCUUUAGAGUCCUAAUCGAAAAGAAGGUUUGCGACCUCGAUGUUGGAUUAAAAUUAAGCCUGGUGUAGAAGUU
rnacentral:rRNA from 1 species